rnacentral:rRNA from 1 species
GGUUAAGCGACUAAGCGUACACGGUGGAUGCCCUGGCAGUCAGAGGCGAUGAAGGACGUGCUAAUCUGCGAUAAGCGUCGGUAAGGUGAUAUGAACCGUUAUAACCGGCGAUUUCCGAAUGGGGAAACCCAGUGUGUUUCGACACACUAUCAUUAACUGAAUCCAUAGGUUAAUGAGGCGAACCGGGGGAACUGAAACAUCUAAGUACCCCGAGGAAAAGAAAUCAACCGAGAUUCCCCCAGUAGCGGCGAGCGAACGGGGAGCAGCCCAGAGCCUGAAUCAGUGUGUGUGUUAGUGGAAGCGUCUGGAAAGGCGCGCGAUACAGGGUGACAGCCCCGUACACAAAAAUGCACAUGCUGUGAGCUCGAUGAGUAGGGCGGGACACGUGGUAUCCUGUCUGAAUAUGGGGGGACCAUCCUCCAAGGCUAAAUACUCCUGACUGACCGAUAGUGAACCAGUACCGUGAGGGAAAGGCGAAAAGAACCCCGGCGAGGGGAGUGAAAAAGAACCUGAAACCGUGUACGUACAAGCAGUGGGAGCACGCUUCGGCGUGUGACUGCGUACCUUUUGUAUAAUGGGUCAGCGACUUAUAUUCUGUAGCAAGGUUAACCGAAUAGGGGAGCCGAAGGGAAACCGAGUCUUAACUGGGCGUUAAGUUGCAGGGUAUAGACCCGAAACCCGGUGAUCUAGCCAUGGGCAGGUUGAAGGUUGGGUAACACUAACUGGAGGACCGAACCGACUAAUGUUGAAAAAUUAGCGGAUGACUUGUGGCUGGGGGUGAAAGGCCAAUCAAACCGGGAGAUAGCUGGUUCUCCCCGAAAGCUAUUUAGGUAGCGCCUCGUGAAUUCAUCUCCGGGGGUAGAGCACUGUUUCGGCAAGGGGGUCAUCCCGACUUACCAACCCGAUGCAAACUGCGAAUACCGGAGAAUGUUAUCACGGGAGACACACGGCGGGUGCUAACGUCCGUCGUGAAGAGGGAAACAACCCAGACCGCCAGCUAAGGUCCCAAAGUCAUGGUUAAGUGGGAAACGAUGUGGGAAGGCCCAGACAGCCAGGAUGUUGGCUUAGAAGCAGCCAUCAUUUAAAGAAAGCGUAAUAGCUCACUGGUCGAGUCGGCCUGCGCGGAAGAUGUAACGGGGCUAAACCAUGCACCGAAGCUGCGGCAGCGACGCUGAUGCGUUGUUGGGUAGGGGAGCGUUCUGUAAGCCUGCGAAGGUGUGCUGUGAGGCAUGCUGGAGGUAUCAGAAGUGCGAAUGCUGACAUAAGUAACGAUAAAGCGGGUGAAAAGCCCGCUCGCCGGAAGACCAAGGGUUCCUGUCCAACGUUAAUCGGGGCAGGGUGAGUCGACCCCUAAGGCGAGGCCGAAAGGCGUAGUCGAUGGGAAACAGGUUAAUAUUCCUGUACUUGGUGUUACUGCGAAGGGGGGACGGAGAAGGCUAUGUUGGCCGGGCGACGGUUGUCCCGGUUUAAGCGUGUAGGCUGGUUUUCCAGGCAAAUCCGGAAAAUCAAGGCUGAGGCGUGAUGACGAGGCACUACGGUGCUGAAGCAACAAAUGCCCUGCUUCCAGGAAAAGCCUCUAAGCAUCAGGUAACAUCAAAUCGUACCCCAAACCGACACAGGUGGUCAGGUAGAGAAUACCAAGGCGCUUGAGAGAACUCGGGUGAAGGAACUAGGCAAAAUGGUGCCGUAACUUCGGGAGAAGGCACGCUGAUAUGUAGGUGAGGUCCCUCGCGGAUGGAGCUGAAAUCAGUCGAAGAUACCAGCUGGCUGCAACUGUUUAUUAAAAACACAGCACUGUGCAAACACGAAAGUGGACGUAUACGGUGUGACGCCUGCCCGGUGCCGGAAGGUUAAUUGAUGGGGUCAGCGCAAGCGAAGCUCUUGAUCGAAGCCCCGGUAAACGGCGGCCGUAACUAUAACGGUCCUAAGGUAGCGAAAUUCCUUGUCGGGUAAGUUCCGACCUGCACGAAUGGCGUAAUGAUGGCCAGGCUGUCUCCACCCGAGACUCAGUGAAAUUGAACUCGCUGUGAAGAUGCAGUGUACCCGCGGCAAGACGGAAAGACCCCGUGAACCUUUACUAUAGCUUGACACUGAACAUUGAGCCUUGAUGUGUAGGAUAGGUGGGAGGCUUUGAAGUGUGGACGCCAGUCUGCAUGGAGCCGACCUUGAAAUACCACCCUUUAAUGUUUGAUGUUCUAACGUUGACCCGUAAUCCGGGUUGCGGACAGUGUCUGGUGGGUAGUUUGACUGGGGCGGUCUCCUCCUAAAGAGUAACGGAGGAGCACGAAGGUUGGCUAAUCCUGGUCGGACAUCAGGAGGUUAGUGCAAUGGCAUAAGCCAGCUUGACUGCGAGCGUGACGGCGCGAGCAGGUGCGAAAGCAGGUCAUAGUGAUCCGGUGGUUCUGAAUGGAAGGGCCAUCGCUCAACGGAUAAAAGGUACUCCGGGGAUAACAGGCUGAUACCGCCCAAGAGUUCAUAUCGACGGCGGUGUUUGGCACCUCGAUGUCGGCUCAUCACAUCCUGGGGCUGAAGUAGGUCCCAAGGGUAUGGCUGUUCGCCAUUUAAAGUGGUACGCGAGCUGGGUUUAGAACGUCGUGAGACAGUUCGGUCCCUAUCUGCCGUGGGCGCUGGAGAACUGAGGGGGGCUGCUCCUAGUACGAGAGGACCGGAGUGGACGCAUCACUGGUGUUCGGGUUGUCAUGCCAAUGGCACUGCCCGGUAGCUAAAUGCGGAAGAGAUAAGUGCUGAAAGCAUCUAAGCACGAAACUUGCCCCGAGAUGAGUUCUCCCUGACCCUUUAAGGGUCCUGAAGGAACGUUGAAGACGACGACGUUGAUAGGCCGGGUGUGUAAGCGCAGCGAUGCGUUGAGCUAACCGGUACUAAUGAACCGUGAGGCUUAACCUU